rnacentral:lncRNA from 1 species
GUUUUAUGAAACUUAAGUAAUGUGCAUUUGAAGUCUGCUCUGUUACUGCAGGUUUUUUCCAGGUGGUGUGUUUGGUCUACAUCACUGUGGUAAACCCAACAGGCACAGAAGUAUGUGGCUGAAUGCUUCGUCUGGAGUUUGGAUAUCUUCAGGGUGAAUUUGUCCUUUCCAGGUUAUUUUGGGACAUUCAUCAUACUCUCACUAGUCUGACAGUCUAUCUAUACACAGACAUUGGAGAGGAUGUCCUUUGAACUUAAGUGAGCUAAAGAAGGUAAAAAUAAAUCACGCGCACACACAAUGUCUACGACUGCU